AUCUUCAAUGCCCUAUAACUCCUUCAUCCAGACUUAGAAUUUAUCAAAUAGUACAUGUAAAGUGUAGCUAAGAAAUUUUUCUCUCCAACUUCAGUCACCAAUCUUUCAUUGCUCUUUGUAUGCAUAUGUUAUGCUCUAUAGAGUGACAGUAGGUACAAAAUUGAUACCUUAACUUUGAGUGCCAAUAACUCCUUCAUAAAAACUCCAAAUUAUACAAAAUUUACACCUAAGUUGUACUCAAAAUCUUAAACUUGCUGAUUCUAGCCUCCAAAGCUCAAAUGACCUCGAAAAAAAAACCCUAAUCCCUAAUAAGGUCUCACACAGCUUCCUUGAAGCCCAUUGGGCAUGGCCUUUGACCAAUAGGAAUGAAGUUUCUCUUUCCUUGCCUUCAUCCAACCAUGCCUUUCUUUCAUC
rnacentral:lncRNA from 1 species